GACGAACGCUGGCGGCGUGCUUAACACAUGCAAGUCGAACGGAAAGGCCCUGCUUUUGUGGGGUGCUCGAGUGGCGAACGGGUGAGUAACACGUGAGUAACCUGCCCUUGACUUUGGGAUAACUUCAGGAAACUGGGGCUAAUACCGGAUAGGAGCUCCUGCUGCAUGGUGGGGGUUGGAAAGUUUCGGCGGUUGGGGAUGGACUCGCGGCUUAUCAGCUUGUUGGUGGGGUAGUGGCUUACCAAGGCUUUGACGGGUAGCCGGCCUGAGAGGGUGACCGGACACAUUGGGACUGAGAUACGGCCCAGACUCCUACGCGAGGCAGCAGUGGGGAAUAUUGCACGAUGGGCGGAAGCCUGAUGCAGCAACGCCGCGUGCGGGAUGACGGCCUUCGGGUUGUAAACCGCUUUCGCAUGUGACGAAGCGUGAGUGACGGUAAUGGGUAAAGAAGCACCGGCUAACUACGUG
rnacentral:rRNA from 1 species